AAAAUUUCUGUAAAUUUACAUGAAAAUUCAACAGCAAAAUGCUGUUUUCGUGUAAUAACAGUAAGUUGCUGUUUUUUACAGUGCAUUGUGGGUAGACUUGCUCACUUCAGGUCGGUUGUCGAGCAACAACAGAAUGUCACUGUUAUUUAACAGUAUUAUAGCAUAUUUUUCGUUGUGCACGCCAUUUUGGAUUGUCUGCAUGAGGUAGGUCUGCAACUUUAUCGAUGCUUAUGCUAUUUUAAAAUUACAUAUUACUUUUGAAUAUUGCAUUUUAUCCAGUGAAGCUUUAAAACAACAAAAUCAGAUUCCAUUUCCUAUUUUAAUCAGGCAAAGCGGGUAUUCUACCAUCACAUCAGUUACACUCACAUCAGAUCACAGGGUUAUUUUGGUGCUUUGGUGCUAUUUUGGUCCCUAUUCCCUGCAUUGUAUAGACAAACAAAUAUUACAUAUAUUAUUAAGAUGUGUGCCACUCCUGCUGACUUUGAGGAGACUAGUAACUUGUGACACCUCGUUUGAUACUGUUUGGUGAUACUCGGGACAAUGGAUUAAACAAUGGAUUAUCAGCCUGAAAGCCAAAAGAAUCUGCAAGGGUGUUCAGCCAACGUGUCUCACUGGACUUACUGCAUUGUGUAUUACAUCUCAACUUGCAAAAGUGAAAGCAGCAUCCACACUGGAAGUCCUUCAAAGACGCUUCAUUAAAAUCAAACCAGAAAAGGGAACCAAGGCUGCAAAGGGAAAAGUGACCUCUAAAACAAGAAAACUGCAAAAGAAGACCAUCAACAGUCAGUCUCAAACUAUCAAAUCUUUUAAAAAGACUUAUGGACUUUGAGUGGUACUUCAUUUAAAAUGUAGCUGACACUUCCCACCAAUACAGCUUUUUUUUAAAUAUGGUGGGCUGCAGCCUGCAGUGAUGGCAGGUGACUUCUCUGAGGGGGCACGAAUGCAAAGCUAGCCAAAACAUUGUCAUGUGUGUGGCUCCUCAUUUCAAAAUGUGUGUUCGGUGCGUCAUGUGAACCUGUGCAUCGCGUGCCAUUUCAAAAUACGUGCCUGCUCCAGACACUUUGAAGGGGAUUAUGAUAAAAUGCUCGCUUUUGCCAGAUAAUCUCAUGUGUAAACAGAGUUUAGUGUUAAAUGAGUGUCUUGCGAAUCAUGUGUCAUGGGAAUGUCUCUUUUAUUCUUUAUCAUAUUCAAAGCGUU